AUUGAACGCUGGCGGCAUGCUUUACACAUGCGAGUCGAACGGCAGCACAGGGAGCUUGCUCCUGGGUGGCGAGUGGCGAACGGGUGAGUAAUGUAUCGGAACGUGCCUGGUAGUGGGGGAUAACUACUCGAAAGAGUGGCUAAUACCGCAUGAGAUCUUUGGAUGAAAGCGGGGGACCUUCGGGCCUCGUGCUACUGGAGCGGCCGACAUCAGAUUAGGUUGUUGGUGGGGUAAAGGCCUACCAAGCCUGCGAUCUGUAGCUGGUCUGAGAGGACGACCAGCCACACUGGGACUGAGACACGGCCCAGACUCCUACGGGAGGCAGCAGUGGGGAAUUUUGGACAAUGGGCGCAAGCCUGAUCCAGCAAUGCCGCGUGCAGGACGAAGGCCUUCGGGUUGUAAACUGCUUUUGUACAGAACGAAAAGUCUCUGGCUAAUAUCUAGAGAUCAUGACGGUACUGUAAGAAUAAGCACCGGCUAACUACGUG
rnacentral:rRNA from 1 species